AGGGAAACUUAGCUUCAGCCUUGACCGGCUUGACAGACCCGGUUCCUGGUUUUGCGCUCCCUGCGUUUACCUUGCUCCUGUCUAACCUUGAAACUCAUUUGCUACCGCCGUCCCGCAGCUUCUGUCUCCGAACUCGCCCCUUCCCUAUGUUCCGGGGCACGAGUCCUGACAGCGAAGACCCGCCCGCCGGUUCCCCAUCAUGUCCGAAGUGACUAAAGAGCUGAUGGAGCUGGUGUGGGGCACCAAGAGCAGCCCUGGGCUCUCGGAUACCAUCUUCUGCCGCUGGACGCAAGGGUUUGUGUUUAGUGAAUCAGAGGGAUCUGCAUUAGAACAGUUUGAAGGUGGCCCCUGUGCUGUUAUUGCACCUGUUCAGGCAUUUCUUUUGAAGAAGCUCCUGUUUUCUUCUGAGAAGUCAUCUUGGCGGGAUUGCUCAGAGGAAGAGCAGAAGGAACUCCUUUGUCACACCUUAUGUGAUAUUUUAGAAAGCACUUGCUGUGACAACUCUGCAUCGUACUGCUUGGUUUCCUGGCUGAGAGGAAGGACAGCGGAGGGAACUGCUAGUAUUUCUGGGAGUCCUGCAGAGUCUAGUUGCCAAGUGGAACACUCUUCUGCCUUGGCUGUCGAAGAGCUUGGCUUUGAGCGAUUUCAUGCAUUAAUUCAAAAACAAUCAUUCAGAAGUUUAUCAGAAUUAAAAGAUGCUGUUUUGGACCAGUAUUCCAUGUGGGGAAACAAAUUUGGAGUACUGCUGUUUCUGUAUUCUGUAUUAUUGACAAAGGGUAUUGAAAACAUAAAAAAUGAAAUUGAAGAUGCAACUGAACCUUUAAUAGAUCCUGUGUAUGGACAUGGCAGCCAAAGUUUAAUUAACCUCCUACUGACGGGGCAUGCCGUUUCCAAUGUAUGGGAUGGUGAUAGAGAAUGCUCAGGAAUGCAACUUCUUGGUAUACGUGAGCAAGCAGCUGUGGGAUUCUUAACAUUAAUGGAAGCUUUAAGAUACUGUAAGGUUGGAUCUUACUUGAAAUCUCCAAAGUUCCCUAUUUGGAUUGUUGGCAGUGAAACUCACCUCACCGUGUUUUUUGCCAAGGAUAUGGCUUUAGUUGCUCCUGAAGCUCCUUCAGAACAAGCUAGGAGAGUUUUUCAAACCUAUGAUCCAGAAGAUAAUGGAUUCAUACCAGAUUCACUUCUGGAAGAUGUGAUGAAAGCUUUGGACCUUGUUUCAGAUCCUGAAUAUAUAAACCUCAUGAAGAAUAAAUUAGAUCCAGAAGGAUUAGGAAUCAUAUUACUGGGUCCAUUUCUUCAAGAAUUUUUUCCUGAUCAGGGCUCCAGUGGUCCAGAAUCUUUUACUGUCUACCACUACAAUGGAUUGAAGCAAUCAAAUUAUAAUGAAAAGAUGAGGCAUCUGAGACAGGGCGAUUAAGUGACUCACCCAGAGUCUCACAGCAAGUCAUUGACAGAGCAGGGGUUGGAACUGAGUUCCUGAUUCCCAGUCCUGUCCUUGUCUGAUUGGCCACGCUACCUGUCUAUAGUAAUGUAUGUAGAAGGAACUGCAGUUAUUAUGGGUUUUGAAGAACCCAGGCUGCAGACAGACGACACUCCUAUUAAACGCUGUCUCCAGACCAAAUGGCCAUACAUUGAAUUGCUUUGGACCACAGAUCGCUCUCCUUCCCUGAACUGAUUUGCCUAAGUACUGAUAAGGUCGUAAUAACAGAUGUGCAGAGGGAUUCCAGACUAGCAAAUGGCUAAAUUCAGCUAAACAGUGGUGUCAUUGAUUAACUGUAACAAUAACUAAAAACACAUUUUUCAGUGUUUACGAUAUAUUUAAAUUAUUUGUUUUAAAGCUUUAUUUUAAAAGUUACACUAUUUUAGCCCUUGGUGUGAAUUUUACUAGCAAAAUUAAGCUUUAAUCAAAAUCCAUCUUUUGCAGUCAGAUAACUUGGUCAUUUACUUAUCAAAUACUUAAAGCACCAAAACACUGUAGCAUUUUUAUAAUAAAUAUGAAAAUCACUAUUUUUCAGUUUUCACUUUUGGCUUUUAUUUCAUUUGGCAAUAUUUUGUUGUUUGAAUAAUUCUGGCUUAUAUCAGCUCCACAUUGAAAUGUAGAAGAAUUGAAUUUAUUCUUUUUUAAACUCUGCUUUCCAUUAGAUACAUUAAUAAAUAACAAAUUAUCAGCCCAUUUCCUUUAAAAAUUGGCUUGACUCUGGCAUGUUUACAAAACAUAGAAACUGUAUGGGAGCUUCCCAUUUAUUCACAGGUAUAUAGGGUGUAUUUAUUUUUUAAAUGAUAGAAAAGAGAAUCUCUUCAAUAGUCUUGACACUGUUAGCUUUCUCUGUAUUGCCAAAUACACGUUUCCAAAUUCAUUCCAACAGCCCUGUAAUUACGCCAACUUUCUUGUGUAUUUAUAAAUGUGAUGAAUGCAUGAGAACAUCUGUUAUUACAUUAGUAUACUGCAUUAUUUAUUAUGAUCCUAAUUGAUAGUCUAAAUAAAGACUUUUUUCUUUAACUCUA